UACGGAGGUGGCAAGCGUUGUUCGGAAUUACUGGGCGUAAAGGGCGCGUAGGCGGCUUGGCAAGUCAGAUGUGAAGGCCCCGGGCCUAACUCGGGAAUUGCAUCUGAAACUGCUUUGCUUGAGUCCUGGAGGGGGUAGUGGAAUUCCCAGUGUAGCGGUGAAAUGUGUAGAUAUUGGGAGGAACACCUGUGGCGAAGGCGGCUACCUGGACAGUGACUGACGCUGAUGCGCGAAAGCCAGGGGAG
rnacentral:rRNA from 1 species